rnacentral:lncRNA from 1 species
CAUUCACACACUGAAGUCUUGGUUACCUCAGAACACGACCUUCUUUGGAACUUAGUUCUUUGAAGAUGUCACUCAUUAGCACGAGGCCACAAGGUCAUUCUGAAUUAAGGUGUUCUCUACCUGCUGUGGACUGGUGUCAUUAAAACAGAGGCAAGCAUGAGGAGUGGAGCUCAAUCCCCAGCACCAUUGGGAAAAAGCUACUGGCAUAGGGAGGCACGUGCUUCCAAUCCCCCCCCCGCCCCCCCCCCCCCCCCCCCGCAGUGAAGAGGCAGAGAGACAAAGAAGCCUGGGACCUGCUGGCCAGACAGCCUGGCAGAAUAGGUGAGCCGCAUAUUCAGUGAGAGGCCCUAUCUCAAAAAGCAAGGGGGGGGGGUGGUGGAGA